UGUUGGCUGUCCGCAUGUAUAAAUCACAUGUGUCAGCAAGGGCCGGGCAAGACCGGUGCCAGCCGCCGCGGUAACACCGGCGGCCCGAGUGGUGGCCAUUAUUAUUGGGUCUAAAGGGUCCGUAGCCGGUUUGAUCAGUCUUCCGGGAAAUCUGACAGCUCAACUGUUAGGCUUCUGGGGGAUACUGUCAGACUUGGAACCGGGAGAGGUAAGAGGUACUACAGGGGUAGGAGUGAAAUCUUGUAAUCCUUGUGGGACCACCAGUGGCGAAGGCGUCUUACCAGAACGGGUUCGACGGUGAGGGACGAAAGCUGGGGGCACGAACCGGAUUAGAUACCCGGGUAGUCCCAGCCGUAAACGAUGCUCGCUAGGUGUCUGGGAUGGUGCGACCGUUUCAGGUGCCGCAGGGAAGCCGUGAAGCGAGCCACCUGGGAAGUACGGCCGCAAGGCUGAAACUUAAAGGAAUUGGCGGGGGAGCACUACAACGGGUGGAGCCUGCGGUUUAAUUGGACUCAACGCCGGAAAACUCACCUGGGGCGACAGCAAUAUGUAGGUCAGGCUGAAGGUCUUACCUGAAUCGCUGAGAGGAGGUGCAUGGCCGUCGUCAGUUCGUACUGUGAAGCAUAAUCGAAUUCCCGCGGCC
rnacentral:rRNA from 1 species